CUACGGGUCGCAGCAGUCGCGGAACUUUUACAAUGCACGCAAGUGUGAUAAAGCAAGCCAAAGUGUUUUUCGUUUAGAAAAACUUUUUCUUAGUGUAAAAAUCUAGGAGAAUAAGGACUGGGAAAGACUGGUGCCAGCCGCCGCGGUAAUACCAGCAGUUCAAGUUGCAUCCCUUUUUAUUGGGUCUAAAACAUCCGUAGCUUGAAUUUUAAGUCUCUUGUGAAAUCCCACGUCUCAAGCGUGGCGAAGUGCAGGAGAUACUGGAAUUCUAGAGAUCGGUAGACGUAAGGAGUACGCCGGAGGUAAUGGUAAAAUAUGUUAAUCUUCGGUGGACUAACAAUGAGCGAAGGCACCUUACGAGGACGAAUCUGACAGUGAGGGAUGAAGGCCAGGGGCGCAAAACGGAUUAGAUACCCGAGUAGUC
rnacentral:rRNA from 1 species